rnacentral:lncRNA from 1 species
UUGAACAUCAGACUUGAUGUUUUGAGCUCUUCAGUUUUGGAACUCGGAUUUGCUUUCCUUGCUCCUGAGCCUGUAGCCAGCCUGUUGUGGGACCUUGUGAUCAUAGAUCUGCACCACUAUGGCCAUCACCCUGCCAAGAAACUGCAAGAUGGUUUGACAAAUUAAUUUAAAGACAGAUGUUAAUAUUUUAUAUUGAAUAUUUCAAAGAAAUGAUCAAAGAUUAUUUGUAGGAAGAAAACUUAUACUUGAGGAACUUCAUCUGAGAACCUCCCCUGGAGAGCUCAGCUUUGUCUAGACUCUGGAUGACAUAAUUUUGGACUUUGGGC